AUUGAACGCUGGCGGCGGGCCUAACACAUGCAAGUCGAACGAGUGGCGGACGGGUGAGUAAUGUCUGGGAAACUGCCCGAUGGAGGGGGAUAACUACUGGAAACGGUAGCUAAUACCGCAUACCAUCGGAUGUGCCCAGAUGGGAUUAGCGAGUAGGUGGGGUAACGGCUCACCUAGGCGACGAUCCCUAGCUGGUCUGAGAGGAUGACAAGCCACACUGGAACGUAGAAACGGUCCAGACUCCGACGUGAUGCAGCAGUGGGGAAGAUUGCACAAUGUGCGCAAGACGGAUGCAGCCAUGCCGCGUGUAUGAAGAAGGCCUUCGGGUUGUAAAGUACUUUCAGCGGGGAGGCGUUACUCGCAGAAGAAGCACCGGCUAACUCCGUGCCAGCAGCCGCGGUAAUUC
rnacentral:rRNA from 1 species